rnacentral:rRNA from 1 species
CCUACGGGUGGCUGCAGUCGAGAAUCUUCGGCAAUGGACGAAAGUCUGACCGAGCGACGCCGCGUGCGGGAUGAAGGCCUUCGGGUUGUAAACCGCUGUCGUAGGGGAACGUGAUCCUAGGAGGAAGGGGAGGCUAAGCUCGGCCAGCAGCCGCGGUAAGACGAGCUCCCCAAACGUUAUUCGGUAUCACUGGGCUUAAAGAGUUCGUAGGCGGUCUGGUAGGUGAGGUGUGAAAUCCCCCGGCUCAACCGGGGAACUGCGCUUCAAACCACUAGACUUGAGGGAGACAGAGGUGGGCGGAACAGAUGGUGGAGCGGUGAAAUGCGUUGAUAUCAUCUGGAACACCGGUGGCGAAAGCGGCCCACUGGGUUUUCUGACGCUGAGGAACGAAAGCUAGGGUAGCGAACGGGAUUAGAUACCCCUGUAGUC